CCCUUAGAUGUUCUGGGCCGCACGCGCGCUACACUGAUGCACUCAACGAGUCUCACCUUGACCGAAAGGUCCGGGAAAUCUUCGAACUUGCAUCGUGAUGGGGAUAGAUUAUUGCAACUAUUAAUCUUCAACGAGGAAUGCCUAGUAAGCGCAAGUCAUCAGCUUGCGUUGAUUACGUCCCUGCCCUUUGUACACACCGCCCGUCGCUCCUACCGAUUGAAUGGUCCGGUGAAGCGUUCGGACCGUGGCCUUUGGACGGUUCGCCGUCUGUUGGCUGCGGGAAGUUCGUUAAACCUUAUCAUUUAGAGGAAGGAGAAGUCGUANCA
rnacentral:rRNA from 1 species